GACGGGGCCCGCACAAGCGGUGGAGCAUGUGGUUUAAUUCGAAGCAACGCGAAGAACCUUACCAGGCCUUGACAUGCAGAGAACUUUCCAGAGAUGGAUUGGUGCCUUCGGGAACUCUGACACAGGUGCUGCAUGGCUGUCGUCAGCUCGUGUCGAGAGAUGUUGGGUUAAGUCCCGUAACGAGCGCAACCCUUGUCCUUAGUUACCGGCACGUUAUGGUGGGCACUCUAAGGAGACUGCCGGUGACAAACCGGAGGAAGGUGGGGAUGACGUCAAGUCCUCAUGGCCUUUAUGACCAGGGCUACACACGUACUACAAUGGCCGAUACAAAGGGCAGCGACACUGCGAGGUGAAGCCAAUCCCGUAAAAUCGGUCUCAGUCCGGAUUGGAGUCUGCAACUCGACUCCAUGAAGUUGGAAUCGCUAGUAAUCGUGGAUCAGCAUGCCACGGUGAAUACGUUCCCGGGCCUU
rnacentral:rRNA from 1 species